AUAAACCAAUAUUUUAGGUUGUGCACUAGAAAGCAAUUCCCCAAAAUCGAAUUCAAAUAUCACAAUUGGUUAAGAAGUCUUCAUCGUUCACUUCAAUAAAUCUAAUUCACUUGUGCCGCCAUUUCAAAUUUUAUCACGCAGAGUUUCCUACACAUUCAAGUAAAAUUACAAAUUAAAAAGAAAUCAAUUUAUGAUAGUACACAUAUAAUAUCAUAAAUAAUAGGAUGUAUCCGAGAUGUGCAUAUAUUGCCGCAACCGCUCCAUUACUAAAAAGAAUUUCAAUCCACUGACACAUGGAUUUUCAUCCUCCAGAAUUUUACUCUUGUGUCUGAAUAACAUUUUAAAUAUAUAUAGGAAAAAUAAAGUGUUAUCCAUCAAAAAUCAGAUCUCGAGGAAUGCAAAACAAUAACAGAAGUGUACUUGUAGGAUAUCAGCGCAGAACAGAUACCUACAGACGCCAAGCACACGAACAAUAUAUUACUGUACCAAAUUCUUUAGCUUUCUUAUUCUUCUCCUAGUACUUUUCUAAUUACAGAAAUACACCCACUAAAGACUAGUAUUACAAUGUUAUUCUAACCUUCAUAAACCAAUUAUAAAAAAAGGGGGGAAAUUAUAGUUCAUAUGUUUAACAAAACAUAAGAGAUGACCAGGAGUAUUCACAGAAACACACUUACAAUAUGCACGCACUUACAAGAUGCUCUUAUGUUUGAGAAAACAUGCUUGAAUUUGCAGAGAAAGUUCACAUAAAAUAGCCUUAACAGCUUCACGCUUAUCAGCGACUCAUAUAUGUGUACAGUGGCGGAUCCAGGAUUUAGAGUCCGUGGGUGCCAAAUGGGAUUCGAACCCGUAACCUCAACCUUCUAAAGUUGCCCUCCUACCGUGGCACCACAAGCCAAUUUUGUUCUGUGGGAGGCACGUCUUAUAUUUAUAUAAAUAUUAUAUAUAUAUAGCUAUGUAUAUAUAGAGUUUCCGUCGAAGUUCGGGGGUGGCGUGACACCCCCAAUGCCCUUCAUAGAUCUGCCACUGUAUGUGUACAACUCAUAAACAGUGGUAAACUCACCUAGAAAUUGUAGGACGAAGUCAAGUCAUUCGGUAUAAGAUGCGCACAAAAUAGUGGAAUGCUGCUCCAACAGGAAUCUCAACGAUCAACUUGGAAAACAAAUAUGAUCCCAGAGCAUCAGACCUUUUCACACGCUCUCUAUCAACAAUUGCUCGUUCCCUGGAAAAGACACUAACUGAGUUUGUGAGAGCAUCCAUAACAGUGUAUUUUGCUGCAAUCUGUGCAUGAACACAUGAAAAUGGAAAAGAAAUUAAUUAGGAACGUCAUCGCCUCAUCAAUUUGGCACUCUGUAUUUUCAUGCUUGAUGCUUUUUAGU
rnacentral:lncRNA from 1 species